CCUACGGGAGGCAGCAGUGGGGAAUAUUGGACAAUGGGCGAAAGCCUGAUCCAGCCAUGCCGCGUGUGUGAAGAAGGCCUUCGGGUUGUAAAGCACUUUCAGUGGGGAAGAAAGCCUUGGGGCUAAUACCCUCGAGGAAGGACAUCACCCACAGAAGAAGCACCGGCUAACUCCGUGCCAGCAGCCGCGGUAAUACGGAGGGUGCGAGCGUUAAUCGGAAUUACUGGGCGUAAAGCGCGCGUAGGCGGUCUGAUAAGCCGGUUGUGAAAGCCCCGGGCUCAACCUGGGAACGGCAGCCGGAACUGUCAGGCUAGAGUGCAGGAGAGGAAGGUAGAAUUCCCGGUGGAGCGGGGAAAUGCGUAGAGAUCGGGAGGAAUACCAGUGGAGAAGGCGGCCUUCUGGACUGAAACUGACGCUGAGGUGCGAAAGCGUGGGUAGCAAACAGGAUUAGAUACCCUAGUAGUC
rnacentral:rRNA from 1 species